UACGGAGGGGGCUAGCGUUGUUCGGAAUUACUGGGCGUAAAGCGCACGUAGGCGGCGAUUUAAGUCAGAGGUGAAAGCCCGGGGCUCAACCCCGGAACUGCCUUUGAGACUGGAUUGCUUGAAUCCGGGAGAGGUGAGUGGAAUUCCGAGUGUAGAGGUGAAAUUCGUAGAUAUUCGGAAGAACACCAGUGGCGAAGGCGGCUCACUGGACCGGCAUUGACGCUGAUGCGCGAAAGCGUGGGGAGCAAACGGG
rnacentral:rRNA from 1 species